rnacentral:piRNA from 1 species
UUCAUCCGCGAUUCCGUUUUU